GGGCCCGCACAAGCGGUGGAGUAUGUGGUUUAAUUCGAUGCAACGCGAAGAACCUUACCAGGGCUUAAAUGCAGAACGACAGAGGUGGAAACACCUCCUUCUUCGGACGGUCUGCAAGGUGCUGCAUGGUUGUCGUCAGCUCGUGCUGUGAAGUGUCGGGUUAAGUCCCAUAACGAGCGCAACCCCUAUUUCUAGUUGCCAGCGGUUCGGCCGGGGACUCUAGAGAAACUGCCAGCGUAAGCUGUGAGGAAGGUGGGGAUGACGUCAAAUCAUCACGGCCCUUACGUCCUGGGCUACACACGUGCUACAAUGGUAGGGACAGAGAGUUGCCAACCCGCGAGGGUGAGCUAAUCUUCAAACCCUAUCUCAGUUCGGAUCGGAGUCUGCAACUCGACUCCGUGAAGUUGGAAUCGCUAGUAAUCGC
rnacentral:rRNA from 1 species